rnacentral:misc_RNA from 1 species
UUCACCUAUUGAAGCCUUCAGCAGCGACUGUAAAGAAAUGCGUAGUUUGCUUGCAAGCAAUGCCACUUAAAUGCUGAGACAUAUGAAUCAGCAGCCUUCUAGGCUCACAGAUCAAAUUGUGGUAACCAUUCUUAUGGGCAAGAUAUGACCGGUCUUAACUAGAGUUAGUUAAGAAUCUACGUUCCGUAGGUGAACCUGCGGAAGGAUCAUUAAAAGGUUUCGGGUACCUAGUGCCCAAACUUCAACCCUAUGUUUUAACUAUACAUGUUUCUUUGCCGGUUUCGGCCGGCAGAAGUUUUCUCAAACUCAUUAUAAAUGUGUCUUCUGAAUCUAAAUUAAAUAAAUUAAAACUUUCAACAACGGAUCUCUUGGUUCUG